UACGUAGGGGGCAAGCGUUGUCCGGAAUCAUUGGGCGUAAAGCGCGCGUAGGCGGCCCCGUAAGUCCGCUGUGAAAGUCAAAGGCUCAACCUUUGAAAGCCGGUGGAAACUGUGGGGCUAGAGUCCGGAAGAGGCGAGUGGAAUUCCUGGUGUAGCGGUGGAAUGCGCAGAUAUCAGGAGGAACACCAAUAGCGAAGGCAGCUCGCUGGGACGGUACUGACGCUAAGGCGCGAAAGCGUGGGGAGCGAACAGG
rnacentral:rRNA from 1 species